UUCCCGAUGCAUCACCAGCGGUUAUAUAGGAAAGAUACACCGUGUAGGGUCUGGUUAUUAGGAAUAUACAGGAAGUAUUUAUGGUCAGACAAAAAAUGAUGCAGCAUUUGAAACACAGGCCAGCCAUGUUUCUAUUUUCAAUGCUUGGUAACUUGAGAGAGCCACGAUGCUAUCAAUUAUUGCUGAUUCGUUUGGAGGGCAGUAUCUCAUAUAAUUGCUAUUGUCUUCUUGCAAAGCGUCCAAGCUUUUGCAUUUGGUCUCAUGGUUUCACCAGUGGGGAGAAAGGAAGAGGCAACACUAUUCAUUAAGGCUAAUUAAUGAGUUACAGAACUCUCUGGCAGUGCUUACUCAGAAAUCUUGGGGCACCUGAGUGGCUCAGUCAGGCGUCUGACUUUGGCUCAGGUCGUGAUCUCAUGGUUCGUGGGUUCGAGCCCCUGGUCGGACUCUGUGCUGACAGCUCGGAGCCUGCGUGGGGUUCUGUGUCUCCCUCUCUCUCUGUCCCUCCCCCGCUUACAUUCUCUUUCUCUCUUCCAAAAACACGUAAAACAUUUUUUUUUUAAAGAAAUCUUAAGUCCUCAGAGUUGGCAGGCAUACAUCACGAUAGAUUCUAUAACAUUGUAAAAAGUUGUGAUCAUAUGCGGUAAAACUUGGGUGACUCCUACCCCUCUUAAAAGGUGGAAAAGCAGGGUUUAAGAUGCAGGCUUUCGGGGCGCCCGGGUGGCUCAGUCGGUUAAGCGUCCGACUUCGGCUCAGGUCAUGAUCUCCCAGUUUGUGAGUUCGAGCCCCGCGUCGGGCUCUGUGCUGACAGCUCAGAGCCUGGAGCCUGCUUCAUAUUCUGUGUCUCCCUCUCUCUCUGCCCCUCCCCUGCUCAUGCUGUGUCUCUCUCUGUCUCAAAAUAAACAUUAAAAAAAAAAAAAAAAAAAAAGUGCAGGCUUUCCAUUGGGUGACCUGUUCUCAUUGCUUAAAGAGAGAUCUAUGGACUUCUGGUUCAAAAUGGCAGGUCGGGCACCUUUUGCUUCUCUUAUUACUUGAGACCUCCCCCCUGCAAUCAAGAUAUUGAAGUGAAAAAGAAAAAAGGAUGGGGAAGGAAUUGUGAAGGGAGAGAAAAUCACAGAGAACAUCUCAGCACCUUUCUCGAAGAUGGAAAGCUGAUCGUAGAGAGUUUCCGGAUGGAACAGGAAGAGAAAUUACAGCUUCCAGAAGGAAACGGGAGUCAGGGUCUGACAGUGAGGCCCUGGGACUCUGUCAGCAGAUGUGAACGCAGCUGGGAGCGAGAAGUAGGGGGACGAGCCAGAAGACUGGUGGAAGGUCUUCGUGUGGACAAGGCAUCGUCCUCCGGCCUCACCCAGUUCACGUGUAAGGAAAAACGGAUCGGGUCCCUGGCGUAGAGCUGUGCUGCCGUGUAAGAAACACUCUCUUCCCGGUGAGUUUUUACCUGGAAUGGGGAGCUCUGGUUGGGGUGUGGUAGUUACCGAUGGGCACGCUAGAGCUGGGCUACUCCAGGUUCAGGCACCCACACCUGGCCCGUACUUGACUCUAGGCUUCAUUAGAGUUAUUUUCCAUCCUGAGGACGUUGUGUGGCAGGGGUGGGGAGAGGGGGGAGGACGGUGGUGGGGUGCGGACAGGGAAGCCUGUGCAGAUGUGGACUUGUGGGUUCCAGGCCCACAUCGGGCUCUGUGCUGACAACUCAGAUUCUGGAGCCUGCUUGGGAUGCUGUGUUUCCCUCUCUCUCUCUCUCUGCCCCUCCCCAGCUCGCACUCUGUCUCUCUCAAAAAUAAACAUUAAAAUAUUAAAAAAAAAAAAAAACCCCACAAACCAAACCAUGAAAUGUCCAACUUUAAGUUCAAACAUCCCCACGAGGAACGGCGACUCUGCAGCGUGGAAACUGCUGUUAGGCUGGUCCCCUCUGCACAGAACCAGCCCGUGGCCCCAGAGAGCUGGGGGGAUGCGUCCAUUCCUGCUUCUCCUGGGAGGCCUGAGAAUUUUCCAGUGAACUCAGCAGCGAAAGGAACAGAAGUCUCCAGUUAAAGCUCGGGUUAAAUAUUAAGUUUGCUCAGCCCUUUCAUUCACAGUGUUUUAACUUUACGUGGUAUUGAAGUCCUGGCCUGUGAAUUAUUUGCACAGGUCCUCCUGCUGGGAAGGACCUCCCGUCCUGUGGAAUUCAAUCAACCAUCACCCAGGGGGCACAGCUGGCACUUCCUGGUCCCUUUACAGACCUUGGUUCCUUAAAGGAGCCUCUCCACAACCUCCUUCCUCCGUUUUAUGGACGGCAAAGCCGAGGCUCAGAGGAGCAGUGGACUUGCCUAAGGUCUUGAAGUUAGGAAGUUGCAACGGUGGGACUCGAACCCAAGUCCGUCGAGUCCCCGUGGUCUUUUUGUUACGCUGGCUCCACCCAGAUAUCGAGAAAAUCAGCAGAAUAGACAAACUGACCUCCGUGUAAGGAAUGACCACCCUGGUACCCAGAGUUACCAUGUAGGUACGGGUGACCAACCGUCUCUGUUUGCCCAGGACCGAGCGUAUUCCUGGGUUGUGGGACUUUCGACCCAUGAGUUGGUCACCCCACAGGUAGGGUUGUACAGAUUAUUUACUGAACAAAAGCGCCUGACCCAGGAGCAGGAAGAGGCUGCCGUUCAGCCGUGCUCCACGCACCCAGCUGUCCCCUGUGCAUCAGGGCUGUGUCCCCUCCCCGCCAAGGAAGGUGCAGUGUGGACUAGCAGAGGCCCAAGGGCAGCCUGUCUCAAGAUGAGCCACAUUGGCAUGGGGAUUAUUUUGAGCUGAAGGCAAUUGAGAUCCUACAGGCUCAAGAGAAACGUUUGCCCCUCUUUCAACUACAUAAAAGAAUCUAAAUCAGAGGAUCUUUCCAGAAAUAAGGGUUAUUACCAGAGAUAAGUUUUAUCUUGAGUGACCCAUCUGUAUGGCAGGGCAAAUGUUGGUUUUCCAAACAUGUACUCCUUUUCAUCUUCCUGUGAAUUACAUUCUUUCCCUUUGGAGUCUGAGACCCCUACCCCCUUCUUCUUAGUUCAGAAUGGCAUACGUACCUCAUUUUGCCUGUCUUCGGAAUUUCCACGUCUGUGUGGAUUCCCUGUACGUAUGCUAUUAAAUCUGCUUUCCUCCUUUCCUCCUGAUUCUUAGUCCAGCUAGAAUGACCCUUGAAGGGGACAGGAAUUCUUGCUUCCUGAUGCUGGCUACGGUCCCACCAAUUCCUCUGACAUUACUAACCCAGAAGUUUAUAAGCAGAUGAGUAAUCAAGGUAAUGUCCUCAUUUUUUUUUUUUUUUUUGAGACAGAGAGAGAAAGUGAUCGAGGGGCACAGAGAAAAAGAGAGAGAAUCCUACAAGGGGCAGAGAGAGAGAGAAGUGGAGCUCACCCAAAGUGGGACUCGAACUCACAAACUGUGAGCUCAUGCCCUGAGUCAGAUGCUUAACCGACUGAGCCACCCAGGCACCCGGGAAUGCACUUUCCAUCUUGGAAUCUCCAGCCAAUGACUUGUGAGCAAAACUGAAUGCGUGCUUCUGGGCUACGGCCAUCAGUUCUGCUGAAAGUUCUCAAAUGGUCUUCCUCUGUGCCACAGUGAGGGCAACGUUCAAGAUGGCGGCAGCUCUGUCCCAGGGGUCCUGUCACUGAACAGAUCCCCUGGCUAACGUGUGAUCGACAUGGAGCCUAGUUGUGAUGGUUGGUUCUAUGUGUCAACUUCAUGGAGCUAAGGGAUGCCCAAACAGCUGGUGAAACAUCAUUUGUGGGAGCGUCUGGGAGAGUGUUUCCAGAAGACAUUAGCAUUUGAAUCGGCAGAUCGGGUAAAGAGAUGUCUUCACCUGUGUGGCCGAAGGUUCUGAUCAGAACAGAAAGGAGGAAGGGUGAGUUCUCACUCUCAGCUUGGGGACCCCAUCUUCUCCUGCCCUUGGACAUUGGUGCUCUCUGCUCUCAAGCCUUUCGGACUCGGACUGAAUUGUGCCACCAGCUUUCCGGGAUCUCCAGCUUGCAGACGAGAGAGGGUGGGCCUUCUCAACCUCUACCAUCAUGUAAGCAACUCCUGUAAUAAGCCUCCUCUUACAUAUACGUCACUCUAUACAUCCUAUGGGUUCUGUUUCUCCGGAGAACCCUGGCUAAUACAGGAAGCCGCGAAAAAUCUCCUGAGUGAUACAAAAAGCAAAUUUAUUGUCCUACAUUGAUUAAAAGUUAACACUUCCAGUCAGGCCCUAUGGGGCUUUCUCAGCCACGCUGCCGGCCCCAAGGUUCUGCAUAGUUUUGUGUCCUCCCAACCCUGCAGUAGAUCAACACAGCCCACAGACUCCCUUCUGGGCAAACAGACCUGGAAGAUAGUGGGGGGCUGGGCAAGGAAGGGGUCAGUGACAGCAGGAAGUGAGCUCUGCCCUGGCUAGAGGCUAGCCGUCCUUCUGGAUCAGAAGCCACCAUUCAAGACACUUCUCUAAAGAAGACAUCCGGAUGGCCCACAGGCACAUGAGAAGAUGCUCAACGUUGCUCCUCAUCAGGGAAAUACAAAUCAAAACCGCACUCAGAUAUCACCUCACGCCGAUCAGAGUGGCCAAAAUGAACAAAUCGGGAGACUAUAGAUGCUGGAGAGGAUGUGGAGACACGGGAACCCUCUUGCACUGUUGGUGGGAAUGCAAAUUGGUGCAGCCGCUCUGGAAAGCAGUGUGGAGGUUCCUCAGAAAAUUAAAAAUAGACCUACCCUAGGACCCAGCAAUAGCACUGCUAGGAAUUUAUCCAAGGGAUACAGGAGUACUGGUGCAUAGGGGCACUUGUACCCCAAUGUUUAUAGCAGCACUCUCAACAAUAGCCAAAUUAUGGAAAGAGCCUAAAUGUCCAUCAACUGAUGAAUGGAUAAAGAAAUUGUGGUUUAUAUACACAAUGGAGUACUACGUGGCAAUGACAAAGAACGAAAUCUGGCCGUUUGUAGCAACGUGGAUGGAACUGGAGAGCGUGAUGCUAAGUGAAAUAAGCCAUACAGAGAAAGACAGAUACCAUAUGGUUUCACUCUUGUGUGGCUCCUGAGAAACUUAACAGAAACCCAUGGGGGAGGGGAAGGAAAAAAAGAAAAAAAGAGGUUCGAGUGGGAGAGAGCCAAAGCAUAAGAGACUCUUAAAAACUGAGAACAAACUGAGGGUUG